UUGAUCAUGGCUCAGAAUCAACGCUGGCGGCGUGCCUAACACAUGCAAGUCGAACGCGAAAGUGGGCUUAGUGCCCUGAGUAGAGUGGCAAACGGGUGAGUAACACGUGGGUGACCUGCCUUCGAGUGGGGGAUAACGUUUCGAAAGGAACGCUAAUACCGCAUGACAUCCCGCUCUUGGAUGAGGGGUGAUUAAAGCCGGGGAUCGCAAGACCUGGCGCUUGAAGAGGGGCCCGCGUCUGAUUAGCUAGUUGGUGGGGUAACGGCCUACCAAGGCGACGAUCAGUAGCCGGCCUGAGAGGGCGGACGGCCACACUGGGACUGAGACACGGCCCAGACUCCUACGGGAGGCAGCAGUGGGGAAUUGUUCGCAAUGGGCGCAAGCCUGACGACGCAACGCCGCGUGGAGGAUGAAGAUCUUCGGGUCGUAAACUCCUGUCGAGCGGGACGAACAUCUUCCGGGGGAAUAUCCCGGAGGGCUGACGGUACCGCUAAAGGAAGCCCCGGCUAACUCCGUGCCAGCAGCCGCGGUAAUACGGGGGGGGCAAGCGUUGUUCGGAAUUACUGGGCGUAAAGGGCUCGUAGGCGGCGCGCUAAGUCAGACGUGAAAUCCCUCGGCUCAACCGAGGAACUGCGUCUGAGACUGGCGGGCUUGAAUCCGGNGAGAGGGAUGCAGAAUUCCAGGUGUAGCGGUGAAAUGCGUAGAUAUCUGGAGGAAUACCGGUGGCGAAGGCGGCAUCCUGGACC
rnacentral:rRNA from 1 species